rnacentral:lncRNA from 1 species
GUGGGGCAGGUCAGAAUUGCGGGCCAGAAAGCCUGGGCUGGCCAGCAGAGGGUGAGAGGCUCAGCUGGGCCUCCCAGGCCUGCUCAGAUCCCUCCCUGCCUGCCCUCCAAGCCAGUCUGAGCAGCCUGGCCACCCCUCCCUGGCUCCUAGAAAUCCCCAGGGGGCGGGAAGCGUGGCCAACAGGGCCCUGAGCUCAGCCUCACCCCUCCCUGGAAGGCAGCGAUCAUGAGACUUUGGAGAAACCCAAAUUAGCCACUCUCCAGGCGAGAGUUUCCUCAUGAAUGUGGUAUCUGUCACAUCCUGCAGUACAGACAAGCCAGGCCUUUCAGACAGCUGUUGCAGCCUCCUCCAGAGCUGAGCUGGGUCCAGGAGAUGUGGAAAAGCUGGUGCUCUGAGAUCUCUGGACCGAGCCCUUGAAAGUGCUUAAAACCCUGCUGGAGCAUUGUACCGGAUGGGUCUGGUGCUGAACCUGUCUGUGCAUCUGCUGGUGAGAAACAAAUACAAACACAACUUCUGCGCUGUCCACGCAAAGUGGCCCCAGAGACUCCAUUUUCGUCAGAGCUCAGCAGGACUGCUCUGGGGACAUCUUCUCCAGUGGAGUCUCAGCGUUCGCCCGUCCUACCAACCUGGAAAGCCUCCCACUGGGACCCUGGGAGGUUCCCG